rnacentral:rRNA from 1 species
UACGAAGGGGGCUAGCGUUGUUCGGAAUUACUGGGCGUAAAGCGCGCGCAGGCGGUUCUUUAAGUCAGGGGUGAAAGCCCAGAGCUCAACUCUGGAAUUGCCUUGAAACUAGAGAACUUGGGUACGGGAGAGGUGAGUGGAAUUCCGAGUGUAGAGGUGAAAUUCGUAGAUAUUCGGAAGAACACCAGUGGCGAAGGCGACUGACUGGACAGACAUUGACGCUGAGGUGCGAAAGCGUGGGGAGCAAACAGG